UACGUAGGGGGCAAGCGUUGUCCGGAAUCAUUUGGGCGUAAAGCGCGUGUAGGCGGUCCGGUUAGUCGGCUGUGAAAGUCAAGGGCUCAACCCCUUGAAUGCCGGUCGAUACUGCCGGACUAGAGUCCGGAAGAGGCAAGUGGAAUUCCCGGUGUAGCGGUGAAAUGCGCAGAUAUCGGGAGGAACACCAAUGGCGAAGGCAGCUUGCUGGGACGGUACUGGACGCU
rnacentral:rRNA from 1 species